UGCUGUCCUUGACCAUAA
rnacentral:misc_RNA from 1 species